rnacentral:rRNA from 1 species
AGUGAACGCUGGCGGUAGGCCUAACACAUGCAAGUCGAACGGCAGCACAGUAAGAGCUUGCUCUUACGGGUGGCGAGUGGCGGACGGGUGAGGAAUACAUCGGAAUCUACUUUUUCGUGGGGGAUAACGUAGGGAAACUUACGCUAAUACCGCAUACGACCUACGGGUGAAAGCAUGGGAUCUUCGGACCUUGCGCGAUUGAAUUAGCCGAUGUCGGAUUAGCUAGUUGGCGGGGUAAAGGCCCACCAAGGCGACGAUCCGUAGCUGGUCUGAGAGGAUGAUCAGCCACACUGGAACUGAGACACGGUCCAGACUCCUACGGGAGGCAGCAGUGGGGAAUAUUGGACAAUGGGCGCAAGCCUGAUCCAGCCAUACCGCGUGGGUGAAGAAGGCCUUCGGGUUGUAAAGCCCUUUUGUUGGGAAAGAAAAGCAGCAGGUUAAUACCCCGCUGUUCUGACGGUACCCAAAGAAUAAGCACCGGCUAACUUCGUG